UAACCAAGUCCAGCUGCAG
rnacentral:misc_RNA from 1 species